rnacentral:rRNA from 1 species
CUGGCGGCAUGCCUUACACAUGCAAGUCGAACGGUAACGCGGGGCAACCUGGCGACGAGUGGCGAACGGGUGAGUAAUGCAUCGGAACGUGCCCAGUAGUGGGGGAUAGCCCGGCGAAAGCCGGAUUAAUACCGCAUACGACCUACGGGUGAAAGCGGGGGACUCGCAAGAGCCUCGCGCUAUUGGAGCGGCCGAUGUCAGAUUAGCUAGUUGGUGGGGUAAAAGCCUACCAAGGCGACGAUUUGUAGCUGGUCUGAGAGGACGACCAGCCACACUGGGACUGAGACACGGCCCAGACUCCUACGGGAGGCAGCAGUGGGGAAUUUUGGACAAUGGGCGCAAGCCUGAUCCAGCCAUGCCGCGUGCGGGAAGAAGGCCUUCGGGUUGAAAACCGCUUUUGUCAGGGAAGAAACGCUCUGGGCUAAUACCCCGGGGUAAUGACGGUACCUGAAGAAUAAGCACCGGCUAACUACGUGCCAGCAGCCGCGGUAAUACGUAGGGUGCAAGCGUUAACCGGAAUUACUGGGCGUAAAGCGUGCGCAGGCGGUUAUGCAAGACAGAUGUGAAAUCCCCGGGCUCAACCUGGGAACUGCAUUUGUGACUGCAUAGCUAGAGUACGGUAGAGGGGGAUGGAAUUCCGCGUGUAGCAGUGAAAUGCGUAGAUAUGCGGAGGAACACCGAUGGCGAAGGCAAUCCCCUGGACCUGUACUGACGCUCAUGCACGAAAGCGUGGGGAGCAAACAGGAUUAGAUACCCUGGUAGUCCACGCCCUAAACGAUGUCAACUGGUUGUUGGACGGCUUGCUGUUCAGUAACGAAGCUAACGCGUGAAGUUGACCGCCUGGGGAGUACGGCCGCAAGGUUGAAACCCAAAGGAAUUGACGGGGACCCGCACAAGCGGUGGAUGAUGUGGUUUAAUUCGAUGCAACGCGAAAAACCUUACCUACCCUUGACAUGUCAAGAAUCUUGCAGAGAUGUGAGAGUGCUCGAAAGAGAACUUGAACACAGGUGCUGCAUGGCCGUCGUCAGCUCGUGUCGUGAGAUGUUGGGUUAAGUCCCGCAACGAGCGCAACCCUUGUCAUUAGUUGCUACGAAAGGGCACUCUAAUGAGACUGCCGGUGACAAACCGGAGGAAGGUGGGGAUGACGUCAGGUCCUCAUGGCCCUUAUGGGUAGGGCUACACACGUCAUACAAUGGCCGGUACAGAGGGCUGCCAACCCGCGAGGGGGAGCUAAUCCCAGAAAACCGGUCGUAGUCCGGAUCGCAGUCUGCAACUCGACUGCGUGAAGUCGGAAUCGCUAGUAAUCGCGGAUCAGCUUGCCGCGGUGGAUACGUUCCCGGGUCUUGUACACACCGCCCGUCACACCAUGGGAGCGGGUUCUGCCAGAAGUAGUUAGCCUAACCGCAAGGGGGGCGAUUACCACGGCAGGGUUCGUGACUGGGGUGAAGUCGUAACAAGGUA